UAUCAAUUAGCGGAGGAAAAGAAACUAACAAGGAUUCCCCUAGUAACGGCGAGUGAAGAGGGAAGAGCCCAAGAUUGAAAGCUGGCGUCUUCGGCGUCCGCAUUGUAAUCUCAAGAAGCGUUUUCCGCUUCGGACCAUGCCCAAGUCCCUUGGAAAAGGGCAUCAUAGAGGGUGAUAAUCCCGUACAUGGCAUGGAGCGCCCGAAGCUUUGUGAUACGCUUUCUAAGAGUCGAGUUGUUUGGGAAUGCAGCUCAAAAUGGGUGGUAAAUGCCAUCUAAGGCUAAAUAUUGGGGAGAGACCGAUAGCGAACAAGUACAGUGAUGGAAAGAUGAAAAGAACUUUGAAAAGAGAGUUAAACAGUACGUGAAAUUGCCAAAAGGGAAGGGUAGGAGGUCAGAGAUGCGGCCUGGGAUUCAGCCUUGCUUUUGCUUGGUGUUUUUCCCAGGUUGCAGGCCAACGUCGGUUUUGGGCACUGGAGAAGGGUAGGAGGAAUGUGGCACCUCUCGGGGUGUGUUAUAGCCUCCUACUGGAUACAGCGACCGAGACCGAGGACAGCAGCGUACUCGCAAGAGCGGGCCUUCGGGCACCUUUACGCUUA
rnacentral:rRNA from 1 species